GAUGAAUGCUGACAGAAUGCUUAACACAUGCAAGUCUACUUGAAUUUGGGUUUUUAACUUAGGUUUGGGUGGCGGACGGGUGAGUAACGCGUAAAGAACUUGCCUCACAGCUAGGGACAACAUUUAGAAAUGAAUGCUAAUACCUAAUAUUAUGAUAAUAGGGCAUCCUAUAAUUAUGAAAGCUAUAUGCGCUGUGAGAGAGCUUUGCGUCCUAUUAGCUAGUUGGUAAGGUAAAGGCUUACCAAGGCGAUGAUAGGUAGCCGGCCUGAGAGGGUGGACGGCCACAAGGGGACUGAGAUACGGCCCUUACUCCUACGGGAGGCAGCAGUGGGGAAUAUUGGACAAUGGAGGAAACUCUGAUCCAGCAAUUCUGUGUGUGUGAAGAAGGUCUUCGGAUUGUAAAACACUUUUAGUUGGGAAGAAACAAAUGACGGU
rnacentral:rRNA from 1 species